AUUGAUUCACUUGCUAUCAUCAACCAAUGCCUAUACCUCUUAGCAUAUCUUUAUUCUCUAAGCCUCUUAUUAUGGCUUCUCCAACUCUUGUAUUUGUCUUCCUCCUAUUUCUCUCUCUCUUACCCCAAGUUAUUGCCUCCAAGGCUGUGAUUUUUGAAGGAUUCGAUGAUGAAAACAGUGAACUCAAUCUUGAAGGAUCUUCCAUCAUCAAAACCAGCCGUUUACUUAAACUCACCAACAGAUCAACCAAUAUUGUAGGCCAUGCAUUCUAUGCCACACCCUUCCAAAUGCUUAACAACACAAACUAACCCUAUGCUUAUUCCUUCAGCACCAAUUUUGUUUUCUCAAUUGUGUCCCCAAGUUCUGGUUCUGGUGGCUUUGGCCUUGCCUUCACCAUAGCACCCUCAACACAGUUUCCUGGGGCUGAGGCUGGCCAUUAUCUUGGCCUUGUUAACUCCACCAAUGAUGGGAAUGAGUCAAACCACAUCUUUGCAGUUGAGUUUGACACAAUGAAUGGUUACAAAGAUGACUCAGACACUGAAGGAAACCAUGUUGGGGUAAACAUCAAUGGCAUGGACUCAAAUAUUACUGAACCAGCUGCAUACAUUAAAGAGGGCACUGAUAAGGUAAAGGAAGAUUUUAGAAUGGCCAAGGUUGAUGCUGUCCAAGCUUGGAUAGAAUAUGAUGGUGAAAACAAAACUCUGAAUGUAACAAUAGCUCCUUUGUCAAAACCAAAGCCAAGCAAACCAAUUAUAAAGAAUCAUAUCAUUGAUCUUUACAAUGUUAUGGAGGAAAGCAUGUAUGUUGGUUUCUCAGCAUCAACAGGCCAGGAAACAAGCUCUCACUAUCUUCUAGGGUGGAGUUUUGCAGUGAAUGGUGUUGCCCCUCAACUGAAAAUUUCCAACCUUCCAAAUCCACCACCAAAAGAGAAAGAACCGACAUCAUUUCCUUGGGUCAAUAUUGCAAUUGGCGUCUUGUCUGCUUCGACUUUUUGCCUCUUGUGUAUUCUGUUUUGUAUAACAUGUUAUAGGAGAUAUUAUAUGGACUUUGAGGUUCUUGAGGACUGGGAGAUGGAUUGUCCUCACAGGUUUAGGUACAAAGAUCUUCACUUAGCCACAAAGGGGUUCAUAGAGAGCCAUCUCAUUGGAGUUGGAGGCUUUGGUGCUGUGUACAAAGGUGUGUUGCCUUCCACGGGAGCUGAGGUUGCUGUCAAGAGGAUUGUGAGAAGCCCUUUCCAUGGAAUGAGGGAAUUUGCUGCUGAGAUUGAAAGCUUGGGAAGGUUGAGGCACAAGAAUUUGGUGAACCUUCAAGGUUGGUGCAACAAAAAGAAUGAUCUACUCUUGGUCUAUGAUUUCAUCCCGAAUGGUAGCCUUGAUUAUGUCCUAUAUAAACCCAACAACAACAACUUUGUUUUGAAUUGGGGGCAAAGAUUCAACAUUCUCAAAGGCAUUAGUGCUGGACUAUUAUAUUUGCAUGAAGAGUGGGAGCAAGUCGUGAUCCAUAGAGAUGUGAAAACUAGCAACAUUUUGAUAGAUGCACACUUGAAUGCACGUUUAGGUGACUUUGGACUGGCGAGGCUCUAUAACCAUGGUCAAUUGUCACACACAACAAGUGUGGUUGGCACUAUUGGUUACAUUGCACCAGAGUUAACUCGCACAGGAAAGGCUUCCACAAGCACAGAUGUGUAUGCAUUUGGGGUUGUGCUCCUUGAAGUUGCCACAGGUAAGAGGCCUCUUGAUUCGGAUCAGUUUUUCUUGGUGGAGUGGGUUAUUGAGAAGUACCACUUGGGUCAAAUUCUUGAGGUGGUUGAUCCUAAGCUUGAUUCACUUUAUGAUGAGGAAGAAAUUGAGUUGGUUCUGAAAUUGGGUUUACUUUGCACUCAGCAUAGAGCAGAUUAUAGACCUACCAUGAAACAAGUUACAAGGUACUUGAACUUUGAUGAACCUCUUCCUGAUAUUGUUGAUUGGGGACAUGGUGUUUCUGGGAGCAGUAGAUUGAGUUCAGGUUUCUUAGAAGUUACGUAUUCUAUGGGAACUGUUGAAACAUUAGGGUAUUUGUCAUCCAUUAGCAUGAGUACUAAGUCCAUAGAUGCUGGUAGGCAGCAAAUAAUCAUAUAGUAACAUUUUACACUUUAAUGUAUAUUUCUCUCUAAAUAUAUCCACAUAUAUAGUUCUAGUGUAAUUCUUUUAUUUGAUAAUAAUAACAAUGCUUUCCUAA